CCGCCAGCAGGUCAGGGGCUGCGUGUGCCUGCACGUCCUUCGGCAGAUUGCACAAGCACGCAGGCAGGUCGCGCGGCGCGUGCUUGUAGAUCGGGGGCGGCGCGCCCCUGCAGGUGGAAGGGCGGAGGAGUGCUGCGGGUGGACUGGUGGAGGGGCGGCGGGAGGCUGCAGGUGGAGGGGCGGCGGUUGGCUGAGGGAGGAACCAGCGCGCCGUGUGCGGCGAUUUGGGGGAGACGAGCGAGGGGAUGAGAGCGCGGAUGGCGGCGGGUGAAUGGGAGAGGGAGAAAAGCAGCUAGGGUCUGGGUACCUGCUGCCGC
rnacentral:lncRNA from 1 species